rnacentral:misc_RNA from 1 species
GAUGAAGAACGCAGCGAAAUGCGAUAAGUAAUGUGAAUUGCAGAAUUCAGUGAAUCAUCGAAUCUUUGAACGCACAUUGCGCCCAUUAGUAUUCUAAUGGGCAUGCCUGUUCGAGCGUCAUUUCAACCCUCAAGCCUUAGUUGCUUGGUGUUGGGAGCUUAUCCUGCCGGAAGGCGGGACAACUCCUUAAAUUUAUUGGCGGAGUCGCGGUGACCCCAAGCGCAGUAAUUCUUUUUUUCUCGCUUUAGGUGUUAUCGCUGGCUUCUAGCCAUUAAACCCCCCCUAUUUUUUAAUGGUUGACCUCGGAUCAGGUAGGACUACCCGCUGAACUUAAGCAUAUCAAUAAGCGGAGA